GGGACCUCAGGUCAGGCGGG
rnacentral:rRNA from 6 species